rnacentral:lncRNA from 1 species
GGGUGCUUGUUAGAAGAUAUUUGGUUGGAGAGCAAGCAAAAGGACUUUUGAAACUUACUGCUAAUAAAAUAUUAAUAAAUGUAUGGAUUCUGAUUCUCUAACUAACUUUUAACUAAAGGAAAAACAAACUGCUAACACAGAUGAUUUUUGUUGCCCUCUUUAAAUAUCUUGUGCAUUCUUAGUAAUUGAAGGAAGAAAGGGGGUCUUAGUAAUUGACGAAGGGCAAAAAUUACAAGGUCUGACACAAACUUCUAUCUAUUCUUCAGAUUCUUCUUUUGGCCACAAGAAGAGUUAAAUGUUGCCCUCUAUUUUUUGCUUCUCCUAAGUGAUUGGCUUACACUCCUUUAACCUUUAAGUUCAGUUUCCUGUUAAUGCUAGUGGUUACUCACUUUCCUUUUUCUGCUUGCAUGCUAUUAAAGUAAUAGUUUUAUGUGGAUAUUUGAGAGAUCUAAUAAAUUGAAUGGUUAUGGCACAAGUAUAAUUUCAAAAUUUGAUGUUAGCCGUCGAUUUCCGCAAUUCCUAUUGCUAAUGGUCUAUUCUACUUCAGAUGGAUGUACGUGGAUCCCUUGCAGAUCUUUUUAAUAUGCAGUUGAACCCGCUGUUGGCUUAAGACGUAUGGAGAGCCAAGUGAGACGGGAUCUUCUAUGAAGAGCUUGGGAGAGGUUGGAGUAAUAAUUGAUGUACUGCAGCUGUAAUACUUUUCUCUACUGCUUUUCUCAGCAUCUCAUAUUUUAAUAGUUUCUUCAGGUUAGAUUUAAGGGGUUAUAGAACAAUCUCCCUCCUGGAAUAUGAUCCCGUUCACACUUUAUGGAUGUACAUCGUUAUUAAAAUGACAAUUGACCAUCAUUUGGCCUCACAGGGGAGGCCGGCACGAUAAAAAGCCUCUACAUGUGAUGUCCAAAAAAUGUAAACAUGUAAUUUAGUAAAUUAUAGCCCAUUGUGGGGUGCAACCAAUGUUAUUAUCUUUUUUAUUGUAUACAGCUUCCUUAUUUGGCAUCCCAUAACUCUACUUGGAUCCUCUGUUUUGGUGCAUAUUGGACCUGUAGCAAUUCUUGCAUGUAUUCAACGGUGGUAGUUUGAGCUAUAAGUAGAAUGGCUAUGAAAUGAAUUUUAACCCGACCAAAUAAAGCGAACCAAUCGCACUAAAUCUUGUUUGAACCAAUUAUUAGGUUUUGGUAAAAACGUAAAGACUUUGAGGUAAGCCUAUAGCCUUAUCGAAUAGAGAAAAUUUUACUUUAUACCCAUUAAUUCUAAACUAUUUACCCUUUAAUGCUUAGACCCAAAUUAUUUACUACUCCUAUCCAUGGGGCCCAAACCAUUUACCCGGCACCUUCUAACUUCCAAGUUCCCAUUGUAUACGUCUUCUUGUACUACUAAAGGAGUAUUACUUUUCAUAAAUAUUCAUCAAUACAAGAAGAAUAAGCCUGAUCUCUCGGAAACAAAGAUAAGAGUCUCAUCUUUGUCAACGAACUGGCCGUUAAAAUUAACGGAGGAACCAUUGGUAAGGCCGUGCUUAGUGGGAUAUUGGGUACUAUGGAGUGGAGAAUCAAGGAAAGAAAAGGGAGAUUUGAGGGAGAAGAUAUCGAAGCCGUAAUUGGUUCUGCCAACGGUGAAGAAGAUAAUAAAACAUGUAGUGACUCUGAAUCCAUAAUGUUGUUGAUUUGCUUUACAGCUGGGAAAUGGUAUCUGUUGUUAAAGAGAAAUAUGAGCUGCAAUUGUGGUACUUGAGAAAGGCGACGGAGUGUAGGUAGGUGGAAAGUGUUAGCGUUAGGCAUGACGUUUCUUCUUUUGUUUUGUUUUGACUAAAUGGGAGAGAUAAAAGGUUUCCCUUUUUACCUUGUGCUGUCGAUCCUCUCCGUCUAAAUUUUUAUGUGUAUUUGAAAUUUUGAAUAUUCACCAUUGUUGGACUUGAAGCUCUAGAGUUUAAAAAUUUUAUUUUGAAGAUUUCUUGUUUGAUUCAAAGUAAGUGCUAUUAAAUAUUGUUUAUAAUACCUUUAGAAGUUCAUACUGAAAUUUGAUAGCGUUUGGAGCUGAUUUGAGGUAAUUGAGAUCGAAAUUUUCAGUUGAAAAUCAAAGAAGAACACAGCUACAGUAUACCGCUACGGUAUACAAUAUGAUGUAGGAGUAUAUAGCUAUACUGCAACAGUAUACUAUUAUAGUUUACAAUAUACUGCAACGGUAUAUUGUAAUAAUCGAAGAAGAACACAGUUACCUAACAGUAUACUGCUACAGUAUACAAUAUACUAUAGGAGCAUAUAGUUAUAACUUAUACUGCAACAGUAUACUAUUAUAGUAUACAAUAUAUUGUUAUAGUAUACUGUAAUAGUAUGCAAUAUAUUGUAACAAUAUGCUGUAAUAGUAUACAAGAUACUAUAGUAGUAUACUUAUUACUCGUAAAUUCACUUGUCUUUUUCCUUUUAAUUUGCUUUAAGCUUGUACCCAACAUGAGAGACAAAUUGAAAGUGCAAAAAUAUAAAAUAUUAUAGUAUGCUAUAUAAUGUAACAAUAUACUCUUACAAUUAGAUCUUUUUAGAAUUUUUUGAAAUUUUUAUUGACAACUGAUAUUAUUUCAGUUUAAUAAUUAAAUUAAACUUUUUUUAACUCUUUGCGUAUAGUUGUAUACCUUGUUGGUAUAGCUAUAUACUAUACUGGUAUCAUAUGUUAGUUAAUAAUUUUUUGGUUGUAUUAGCUAUAUUUAAUUGGUACACAAUUUGAUUUUUCUUUAGUAAUAAUAUAAAAAAAAAGAAUAAUAAAAAAUAGUGAAAAUAGUAAAUGAAAUUAGAUUAUGAAGAGAAAAGGAAUAUAAAAAAAAAA